CUGUUUGGGGAAACUUCGUUAAUAUGAGGUCUAUCCAGGAAAACAGUGAACUAAAAAUCGAAAGCAAGAUUGAAGAGAUUGUUGAGCCACUAAGAGAGAAAAUCAGAGAUUUGGAAAAAAGCUGGCAGUACAGGGAUCAAACCCUGGACCUUGGUGUUAUCAGCACCACGUUCUAACCAACUGAGCUAAGCAGCCAGCCCUUGAAAGACACUUUUAUUUGAAUCAAAGUCCAAACAGAAUUCCUCCUCAUCACGUUUUGACAGGGUGGUUUCCCUCCUGACCUUGAGACUUGAUGGGUAAACUCCUCUGAGUCCCUACACUUCUGAAACAACUGAGCCUCAGGCACUGGAGGUAUUUCCUUGAGAGCAUGUGGGAAACCUUGUAUGUCUAGAGUAACAGUUGAGUUUUUGGAAACUUGAAAGAGGAAAAUGAAAACAUUCAUUAGAGAUUAUGUACAUUUUUUUUCUUGGGAUGAGUUUGGAUUAUGCGUGUCAGCAUUGUGUGAGCCUUGUAUCAAAUUCAGAAUAAAAAGGAAGAAAUGAA